rnacentral:rRNA from 1 species
UAGCUAGUUGGUGGGGUAACGGCCUACCAAGGCGAUGAUCCGUAGGGGGCGUGAGAGCGUGGCCCCCCACACUGGCACUGAGACACGGGCCAGACUCCUACGGGAGGCAGCAGUGAGGAAUAUUGCACAAUGGGCGCAAGCCUGAUGCAGCAACGCCGCGUGAGGGACGAAGGCCUUCGGGUCGUAAACCUCUUUUCUGGGGGACGAGUAAGGACGGUACCCCAGGAAUAAGUCUCGGCUAACUACGUGCCAGCAGCCGCGGUAAAACGUAGGAGGCGAGCGUUAUCCGGAUUUACUGGGCGUAAAGCGUACGCAGGUGGCUUCGUGAGUCGGACAUGAAAGCUCCUGGCUUAACUGGGAGAGGUUGUUCGAUACUGCGGGGCUUGAGGUUGGGAGAGGGACGUGGAAUUCCCGGUGUAGUGGUGGAAUGCGUAGAUAUCGGGAGGAACACCAGUGGCGCAAGCGGCGUCCUGGCCCACACCUGACGCUGAGGUACGAAAGCGUGGGUAGCAAACAGGAUUAGAUACCCUGGUAGUCCACGCUGUAAACGAUGUCAACUGGGUGUCGGUAGUUUUACACUAUCGGUGCCGAAGCCAACGCG